AUGACGCCGAGGACCUUGGCCCUGAUGGCGGUGCAGAGGCACACAGCGGCGUCAAGGUCGGCCAGACCGGCCAGCAGCGGGCAGCACCGCUCGUUGGGCGGCACGCCGAGCCCGAGCUUCACGAGGUUCAGCACGGUGGCACACACGCCCAGCUUCAGCGUGUCGAUCGGGCACGUGCCGCCGUUGGUCGAUGGAGGUGGUGGUGGGGUCGGGGUCGGGCAGUGGGGUCCGCAGCCACCAUGCACAGCGGUGACCAUCAAGUUUAGGCCCAGGAAAUCUAGAUUAAUCUCCACGCUGGAUUGGUUAGAAGAGACUGAUUAUAAGUUCUCAUGUCUCUGA
rnacentral:rRNA from 1 species